UCCCUGGUGGCUUAGCGGUAAAGAAUCUGUCUGUCAAUGCAGGAGACCCAGAUUCGAUCUCUGGGUUGGGAA
rnacentral:tRNA from 1 species